UACCUUUUUCUUUUUACAUUGGUAAGAAAAGGCAAGGUCAGGAAGUGUCGAUUAAGAAACGGGCAACGUUUCGCAUGUUACAUGUCCCUCUUUCUCCCUUCCUGCAUACGCUUUUAUUGAAUCUUUAUUUAUUGGCCGAUUAAAUCAAACAGAAUGCGAAAAUACUUGUGUUGAAAUUUUCAAUUGACACUCUCUGCUCGCUACCUUCAUAAAAAAUAAAAUCUUUAUUUAUUCAUAUUUUUUUCUUGUUAAGAGAGUAAAUUACACUUUUAAUCAAAACAAGAAGUCCCAUUUUUUUGAAAAUUUUGUUGUAUAUAUAUAUAUCCUGGAGUGGCUUCUCACCUAAUUUAUUUCUUCUUCCCACUCCCUUUCUAUGCUUCUUUAAAAUCCACAGCCUUACAAACAUAAACAUCUACUUCUGAUCUGUUUAUUGAACCCUGCUUCUGCGUGUUUUUGGCAAUGGAGAAAGUCAAGUGUAAGCAGCUCUGCUUGAAAAGCUUUGCAAAUGGAGAAACUCAAUUGAGGUCUAACAUGUUGAAUCUUCCAAUUCCUCCCAACGUUGAACAAGAAUCUGCUUCACCUUCAUAUUCAUCGUCUUCCUCGGAAGAAAAAGGGCAGUUUUAUGGUCUUAGAGAGAACCCAAAGAGAAGCAUUCGCUUUGUAGAUCCUGAAUUCGUUGAUGCAGACUCAGUUGUUGUUCAAAGCAAAGAAAGUGAGACCGAGUCGUCCAAGUACCCAACUCAGAAACGAUCCAGACGGACUUGGGAUGAACCUGAACAGGCGACUUCCCUCUCUGACACUACAACUGAAGAAGAUAUCGCUUUCUGUCUUAUGAUGCUUUCAAGGGGCCAACGGAAAAGCAAAGUAGCUCAACAUGAUGAUAUUGAUGAAGAAGAAGAAGAAACAGAUGAAUCUGCAGAGUUUAAUAGAACAACUCGAGGGAAAUACAAAUGUGAAACGUGCAACAAAGUUUUCAACUCGUACCAAGCACUGGGUGGACACAGAGCGAGUCACAAAAAGAUCAAAACUUUCGAAACAGAGUUAGCACCAGAAAAUGUGGGUACUACUUGUUCAAUGACAGAAAAGAAAACACAUGAAUGUCCUGUUUGUUUUAAAGUCUUCUCGUCUGGACAAGCUCUUGGCGGGCAUAAAAGGUCUCAUGUAGCAGCAGCAACAGCACAAACCUAUGUUAAAAGUUCCAACAAGUUGGUAGUUAAUUUUAUAGAUCUUAAUCUUCCUGCUCCAGUGGAUGAUGAUGAUGAUGAUGAUGAUGGGUUCCUAAUGCUUAAAUAGUCAACAACAUAUAAAGUGACGGACAAAUUUUCUUUUCGUGGUUUACAACAAUGUUUGAUCCAAAGGCUAGGCAAGGCGGCUGCCCAUGCCUCCAAACUCUAAGUAAAAUCACAGCCACGAUGAUUAGGACUGCUUUAUCGACCAUUAUUAAGUGAUAACAUAAACAAAUAAAGGAGAGUAUUUGUGAGCAAAACAAGAGAAAAUCGGACAAUUAGAACAGAUUUCAAGAGCCACACGGGCAUACACACGGCCAUGUGCCAGACCGCGUGUAUUUCGCGAUUCGAACUACAAAUAAACACAAUUUUUAGAUUUUUCGGGCAUUUUAAGACCUAUAUAUACCAAAUAUAAAAAGAGAAGAGAGAGCCGUAAGAGGAGAUUGAAGAAAACAACUCGGAAAACACCAUUGAAGUCGACUCUAAAGCAGAUUUCUAUCAAGAUUGAAUAUCUCCUUUUAAUUUGUUUAAAUUUUAUUAUGAGUUUCUUUAUUUCUUGUAGUUAUACUGACUUUGAAAUGUUUUUAUUCGCGAUUAUGAACUAAUUUUUU